CGCUGGCGGUAUGCUUAACACAUGCAAGUCGAACGAAGCACUUAGGUGCUUAGUGGCGGACGGGUGAGUAACGCGUGAGAAUCUGCCUUCAGGACGGGGACAACAGUUGGAAACGACUGCUAAUACCCGAUAGGCCGCAAGGUGAAAGAAAUUCGCCUGGAGAGGAGCUCGCGUCCGAUUAGCUAGUUGGUAGGGUAAGAGCCUACCAAGGCAGCGAUCGGUAGCUGGUCUGAGAGGACGAGCAGCCACACUGGGACUGAGACACGGCCCAGACUCCUACGGGAGGCAGCAGUGGGGAAUUUUCCGCAAUGGGCGCAAGCCUGACGGAGCAAUACCGCGUGAGGGAGGAAGGCUUUUGGGUUGUAAACCUCUUUUCUCAAGGAAGAACACAAUGACGGUACUUGAGGAAUCAGCAUCGGCUAACUCCGUGCCAGCAGCCGCGGUAAUACGGAGGAUGCAAGCGUUAUCCGGAAUUAUUGGGCGUAAAGCGUCCGCAGGUGGUAAUUCAAGUCUGCUGUCAAAGACCGAAGCUUAACUUCGGGCAGGCGGUGGAAACUGAAUCACUAGAGUACGGUAGGGGUAGAGGGAAUUUCCAGUGUAGCGGUGAAAUGCGUAGAGAUUGGAAAGAACA
rnacentral:rRNA from 1 species